UUUUCUUUGAUAUCAGCGUCGUCUGGUACAGAAACAUGCCGCUGUGGACAUGCUGUAAAUCUAUAUUUGUGUUAAACGAGGUAUUUGUCAGGAACACGAGGUGUGGAAGUAGGACAAUGUGCAUUUUCGUCCUGGAAAAAAGAUAAAGUAGGAAUACUUCCAUGGUCAGCUAACAACUGUGGUGGAAGAAGGAUCCUAAGAAAGUAAAAGCAGCAGAGCAGCAUCUGGAAAAUCAAGUCUCCGCACCACUGAUUGGUGAAAGCACUGUCCAGUCUCUUCACGUCUUUUUUUUGCCAGAGGUGGGA